rnacentral:lncRNA from 1 species
CUGCGUGGUGUUUUUUUUAGCGUGUUCCUAAGUCUGCCAAAAACAAAAACAAAAUCUCCUUGGUGCGACGGCCACAAAAUUUUCAUCUCCAGUUGCUGCUAGUUUUGUGCGACCAAAUCUAUGGCAUUAUUCGCAUCAUCCGGUACCGGAUCCAGGAUUGCUGCUGGGUUCGAGAUGCUGCCGCUGAACAAGAAAGCAGCUGGAAAAUCAACCGGCAAAACAUCCAAAGCAGCCGCCACGGAACGAUAUAAACAACGUUUCCGUCUACAAAUCUGCAUAGACGACUCGACAGGAUAAAAUACCGAAAUAUGGACAGUUCCAUUCGCCGCCUAGUCUCCGCAACCAGGGAUCAUUCGGUUUGCAGCUUCAGGAUGGAUACUUACACGAAGUGUUUUAUUUUGUGCAAGGACGGCGUGAAGCUACUGGACAGACAAACUUCUGAUUGUCAAGAGUUUUGGUGUAUUUAUAGUGUUUAUAUUUCGGGGAAUAAAAUAAAAGUGUGUUGAGCAAUUAAUUUAUAACGCACAAUGAAAUAA